GGGAAAACAGGCGAAGCAUGAAACACAGUCGAGCAAAGACAACGAUCCUCUGGAUCAGGCGAGGACCAGCGCCUUCCAGGAAGAAGGAUCGUCGGGAAAAUGAAGACAUCUGCAGGGUGUCUUCAAAGGAAAAUGAAGCAAUCCAAGGAUAUGAGAGGGUUAUUCACGUCGUCCCUGUGGUUGGAUCCUUUUUCAAGGCUGUGAAACAUCUUCGGGCGUCCCUGACGAUCCUCUGGAGCUGGAAUUGGAUCGACGCUGGUUUCUCUUCUCUUCAGGCGCCGGUGAUGGAUGGUCGGAGCCAGGGGACCAGAUCGCUGGGGCCUUACCUUGGCACUGAC
rnacentral:lncRNA from 1 species